UAUGCUGUGUCUCAACCGAUGGCAGGCACAAAACCAACACCUCAGAUGAUGUAAAAUAGGAUCUAAACUACAACAUACAGUACCAGUCAAAGGUUAGGACACACCUACUCAUUCAAGUAGAUUUUUUAUUGUGGCUAUUCAUUGUACUAUAAAUGAGUGGGACCAAUUUCGGCUAUGUUGUUUUGCCAUGUGAAUUUGAUCUGAUUUGUUUUUGCAGGUGGGAAAAGUGUCAUCCUGACUGCUGUAAUAGUGGGUCUUGGUGGAAAGGCCACCGUCACUAACAGAGGAGUAUCAUUGAAGGGUUUCGUGAAAAAUGGUGAAAGGGGAAGGACGCAGCCAGGAGGGUGAUGCGACAAGGCCGACCCCCCAAGGAACUGUCGCGAGGCCUUCACUGUCGAAGGAGAUCAGGUUUACCGCAACCGAUACUACACCCCAGACUUCGGCAUGGCCAAAUACCUCAGGGGAGAUCUGGAGACAGAAAUUCGCAAAUUGGAGUCAGAGCUGAAGAACUACAAGGCCCAGCUCUCCCGGGUUUCAUCUUCACCUGGGCUCAGUCACUGAGGACAUCCAGCGCAUGGAGGCCAAACUACACAACACCAUCAUGGCCCUGGUAAUGUCUUGAACUGUGUUGUAAUGUGUCAGUCACUGCUGUAUAAAAUUUAAACAUUGAUGCAUUGAAUAGAUAACAGUCAGAUGCGUUGCUUCAUCACACUUAAGCACCAUCAUGACCCCAUAAUGACUGAAAAAGACUGGUAUUGUGUUGUGACUGUAAGCACGCUUGUUACAAUUGUAAUAAUUGCAUCUCAAAAAUAAAAAUGCAUUUCCUGUAUAUCAAUGCAGAGUGCUGCUGUCUGCUAUUGUGCAUGAUACACCUCUAUUUAAUGUAUGACAUAAAUGCUGUUUAACUGUUUACCUGUAUUUUUGAAUGCAGGCCACAGUGAAUCAGGUCAAGGCCAGUGUGACAGAGCUUGAGAAUGUCGAGGAGGAACAGACUGAGAACUUUAUUGAUCCAUGAUUACAAAUUAUGCUUUGAUUUCCUAUGGAGAUGAUCGAUGUUGGUUUGAUUGAUUCUGAAAAACCUUUACAUUAAAUUGACCGUGCUAACGUCAUCAAAUGCUACAGGAAGAAGUGGCUCAAGAGAACCAGCAGAGAAUCGAAUGGUGGGAAGAAAACUGUGGAGGAAGCAAAGGAGGAGCUGGAGGAGCAUGAGAAAACUACCAAGGAAGUUGAUUGCCAGUAUGUUGACGGGAGGAACAGGAUGGAACAGCUGGCUGAAGAGAUGGAGCCACUGAAGGUGAAGAGACAUUAGCGACUAACAGUACAGGGAGGUGGUGCGUCACAGUGCAAUGAGUACAUUUUUGUAUGUGUACAGUGCAUUCGGAAAGUAUUCAGAACCCAUCCCUUUUUCCACAUUUUGUUACGUUACAGCCUUAUUCUAAAAUGAAUGUAUUCUUUUUUUUCCCCCUCAUCAAUCUACACACAUUACCCCAUAAUGACAAAGAGAAAAUAGGCACACACCUGUCUAUAUAAGGUCCCACAGUUGACAGUGCAUGUCAGAGCAAAAACCAAACCAUGAGUUUCGAAGGAAUUGUCCGUAGAGCUCCGAGACAGAAUUGUGUCGAGGCACAGAUCUGGGGAAGGGUACCGAAAAAUUGCUGCAGCAUUGACGGUUUCCAAGAACACA
rnacentral:lncRNA from 1 species